rnacentral:rRNA from 1 species
UACGUAGGGUGCAAGCGUUGUCCGGAAUUAUUGGGCGUAAAGAGCUUGUAGGCGGUUUGUCGCGUCUGCUGUGAAAUUUCGGGGCUCAACCCCGAACUUGCAGUGGGUACGGGCAGACUAGAGUGUGGUAGGGGAGACUGGAAUUCCUGGUGUAGCGGUGGAAUGCGCAGAUAUCAGGAGGAACACCGGUGGCGAAGGCGGGUCUCUGGACAGUUCCUGACGCUGAGGCACGAAGGUCAGGGGAGCAAACGGG